AUUGAACGCUGGCGGCAGGCCUAACACAUGCAAGUCGAACGAGUGGCGAACGGGUGAGUAAUGUCUGGGAAACUGCCCGAUGGAGGGGGAUAACUACUGGAAACGGUAGCUAAUACAGCAUACCAUCGGAUGUGCCCAGAUGGGAUUAGCUAGUAGGUGGGGUAACGGCUCACCUAGGCGACGAUACCUAGCUGGUCUGAGAGGAUGACCAGCCACACUGGAACUGAGACACGGUCCAGACUCCUACGGGAGGAAGCAGUGGGGAAUAUUGCACAAUGGGCGCAAGCCUGAUGCAGCCAUGCCGCGUGUAUGAAGAAGGCCUUCGGGUUGUAAAGUACUUUCAGCGGGGAGGCGUUACUCGCAGAAGAAGCACCGGCUAACUCCGUGCCAGCAGCCGCGGUAAUAC
rnacentral:rRNA from 1 species